CUACCGGACAGCAGAGGCACAUAAAGCCUGGUAAAUUGCACCAGGGCAAUAAAAUGGCUAUAAAAUGACAACAACAGUGCAUUAAUCCAUCACCAGGGAGCGCUGAAGGAAGUGAGCGCCUGGAUUCAUGUAAAGGGAACCAGAAACAGCAGGUGAUGGAAACUUGUAGGCGCAGUAGCUUGGCUGAGUCCAGGGGGUCCUGGCAAGCUGACACCAUGGAGAAGGAGCUGUUUCCUCAUGUUAUUUCAGCAUUUCCUCAAUCAUCUUGAAGACAACAUCAGUAGAAGAGGACGCAAAGUAGAAUGCUAUCAGCUUACCUUCUUUUUCUCUUGUUUUUUGUUUUUUGACUCAGUC